UCUUCAGUAUCAAUGAGACUGUGGUAGUGACGACACCUCUGUUGAUAAAGCUAAACGCUUCCGAUUUACACCUCCGCGAGUGUUAUUAACCCGUAGACCCUUUGCGGUUUAUUGAUCAUCCCGUAAGGUAUGCACCGCCAGACCCGUCACACAUCUAGAAGUUUCUGUUGUGAGUGAGUUGGUGAGUGAGUAUGAGUGCAUGCAGAUUAGUGUGUCGGUAAUUAGUCAUAAUGAGUCCUAAUUAUUCAGUGUGAUUCUUACCUGGUCCAGUGUGAGUCGAAAGUGAUCAGUAUGAUUCUAAGGUAGUGUUGAAUAUAAUGGGUUCGUACAUAUCGAUGGCAAUAAACGUUUCCUGCUGCCUUUUAACGUUUGGCACGAGUUCGAACAUCGUGUGAAUACAUUUAGAACAACAAACGUUUCUAAAGUUCGAACACCGCGUGAAUAUAUCAAUAAUAGCAAAUAUUUAACAGAAGUUUGAACAACGGGGAAAUAUAUCGAUGACAAUAAACAAGAAAGUUCGAACACUGAGUAAGUUCGAAAGCCGUUUGAAUACGUUUUCAUAAUAAACGAUUCAAGGGUUCGAACACUCCUGCGAAUAUAUAGAGGCAAUAAACGUUUCAAGAGUUCGAACACUAUGUGAGUAUAUGGAAAGAAAAAAAAAACGUUUCAAACGUUUCCACCUGCCUUAAAACAUUUGACACGAAUUCGAACACGGUAUAAAUACACCAACAAUAAUAAACGUUCAGGAAUUCGAACGCUUAUAUUCCAGGGACGAAAGCACUGAAUAUUUCAUACAUUUUCCGUGCCUGUGAGUCGCAGCUAUUUCACGCUCGCAAAAUGGCUUCUCUACAUCCUGCAAUCUCUGCAAGGUUUGUCAGAGGGUUUUUGCAAGUCAGCAACUGCAAAUGCGAAAAAAGCGAUUGAAUCAUAUAUAAUAGAAUUUGUGAAACGGAAGAAAGAGAUCAAGAAGAAGAACAUGAAGAAGAAGAAGAAGAAGAAGAAGAAGAAGAGGAAGAAGAAGAAGGAGAAUUGUGAUUAUGGAAUCCACGAAAUCCGCCGGAAUCCAAGACAAAGAACAUUAGAAUAAGAAUUUUAUUUUUAUUAUUCUAACUGUGAACAUCGGGAUGUCGGAAAGGAGAUGAAAAGAAUGAAGAAAGGAG